rnacentral:rRNA from 1 species
AACGUAGGGCGCCAGCGUUGCGCGGAUUUACUGGGCGUAAAGCGCGUGUAGGCGGCUAUUUAAGUCCAGCGUGAAAUACCCGGGCUCAACUUGGGAAUUGCGCUGGAAACUGGAUGGCUUGAGUUCGGGAGAGGGAGAUAGAAUUCCCGGUGUAGCGGUGAAAUGCGUAGAUAUCGGGAGGAAUACCUGUGGCGAAAGCGGUCUCCUGGUCCGAUCCUGACGCUGAAACGCGAAAGUAUGGGUAG